rnacentral:misc_RNA from 1 species
GAUGAAGAACUUAGCGAAAUGCGAUAAGUAGUGUGAAUUGCAGAAUUCAGUGAAUCAUCGAAUCUCUGAACGCACAUUGCGCCCCUUGGUAUUCCAUGGGGCAUGCCUGUUCGAGCGUCAUUUGUACCUUCAAGCUUUGCUUGGUGUUGGGUGUUUGUCUCGCCUUUGCGUGUAGACUCGCCUUAAAAUAAUUGGCAGCCGGCGUAUUGAUUUCGGAGCGCAGUACAUCUCGCGCUUUGCACUCAUAACGACAGCGUCCAAAAGUACAUUUUACACUCUUGACCUCGGAUCAGGUAGGGAUACCCGCUGAACUUAAGCAUAUCAAUAAGCGGAGGA